rnacentral:rRNA from 1 species
GAUUAACGCUGGCGGCGUGCAUAACACAUGCAAGUCGAACGAUGAAACUUUAAUGAACCCUUCGGGGAGAAUUAAAGCGGAUUAGUGGCGAACGGGUGAGUAACGCGUGAGUAACCUGCCUUACACAAGGGGAUAGCCUUUGGAAACGAAGAAUAAUACCCUAUAAAACCAUAAAAGCACAUGCAAUUAUGGUCAAAGUGAUAGCGGUGUAAGAUGGACUUGCGUCUGAUUAGCUAGUUGGUGAGAUAAAAGCCCACCAAGGCAACGAUCAGUAGCCGGCUUGGGAGAGUGUACGGCCACAUUGGGACUGCGACACGGCCCAGACUCCUACGGGAGGCAGCAGUGGGGAAUUUUGCACAAUGGGGGAAACCCUGAUGCAGCGACGCCGCGUGAUUUAGAAGGCCUUCGGGUUGUAAAAAUCUUUUGUAUAGGAAGAAAAUGACAGUACUAUACGAAUAAGGUCCGGCUAAUUACGUG